rnacentral:rRNA from 1 species
AACGGAAAGGCCCUGCUUGCAGGGUACUCGAGUGGCGAACGGGUGAGUAACACGUGGGUGAUCUGCCCUGCACUUCGGGAUAAGCUUGGGAAACUGGGUCUAAUACCGGAUAGGAGCCAUCUUUAGUGUGGUGGUUGGAAAGUUUUUUCGGUGUAGGAUGAGCUCGCGGCCUAUCAGCUUGUUGGUGGGGUAAUGGCCUACCAAGGCGGCGACGGGUAGCCGGCCUGAGAGGGUGUACGGCCACAUUGGGACUGAGAUACGGCCCAGACUCCUACGGGAGGCAGCAGUGGGGAAUAUUGCACAAUGGGCGCAAGCCUGAUGCAACGACGCCGCGUGGGGGAUGAAGGCCUUCGGGUUGUAAACUCCUUUCGCUAGGGACGAAGCUUUUUUGUGACGGUACCUAGAUAAGAAGCACCGGCUAACUACGUGCCAGCAGCCGCGGUAAUACGUAGGGUGCGAGCGUUGUCCGGAAUUACUGGGCGUAAAGGGCUCGUAGGUGGUUUGUCGCGUCGUCUGUGAAAUUCUGGGGCUUAACUCCGGGCGUGCAGGCGAUACAGGCAUAACUUGAGUGCUGUAGGGGUAACUGGAAUUCCUGGUGUAGCGGUGAAAUGCGCAGAUAUCAGGAGGAACACCGAUGGCGAAGGCAGGUUACUGGGCAGUUACUGACGCUGAGGAGCGAAAGCAUGGGUAGCGAACAGGAUUAGAUACCCUGGU